AGCAAUCUGCCUUGGAGUGGGGAAUAACGGCUGGAAACAGCCGCUAAUACCGCAUGAUACAGCUAUCCCGCAUGGGGUUGGCUGUCAAAGAUUUAUCGCUCUGAGAUGAGCUCGCGUCUGAUUAGCUUGUUGGCGGGGUAACGGCCCACCAAGGCGACGAUCAGUAGCCGGACUGAGAGGUUGGCCGGCCACAUUGGGACUGAGACACGGCCCAGACUCCUACGGGAGGCAGCAG
rnacentral:rRNA from 1 species